rnacentral:rRNA from 1 species
CAGAGGUCCCAAGCGUUGUUCGGAUUCACUGGGCGUAAAGGGUGCGUAGGCGGUCAGAUAAGUCUGAUGUGAAAUCUUCGAGCUCAACUCGGAAACUGCAUCGGAAACUAUCUGGCUCGAGGAUUGGAGGGGAGACUGGGAAUUCUCGGUGUAGCAGUGAAAUGCGUAGAUAUCGAGAGGAACACCAGUGGCGAAGGCGAGUCUCUGGACAAUUCCUGACGCUGAGGCACGAAAGCUAGGGGAGCAAACAGGAUUAGAUACCCUGGUAGUCCUAGCCCUAAACGGUGCACGUUUGCUGUAAGAGGAAUCGACCCCUUUUGUGGCGAAGCUAACGCGUUAAACGUGCCGCCUGGGAAGUACGGCCGCAAGGUUA